rnacentral:rRNA from 1 species
UAGGGAAUUUUCGUCAAUGGGCGCAAGCCUGAACGAGCAAUGCCGCGUGAACGAGGAAGGUCUUCGGAUCGUAAAGUUCUGUUGAGGGGAAAAGAGCGGAGAGAGGAAAUGCUUUCUGAUUGAUAUUACCCUUCGAGGAAGUCACGGCUAACUACGUGCC